UUGCCUACGGGGCGCAGCAGUGAGGAAUAUUGGUCAAUGGGCGCAGGCCUGAACCAGCCAAGUCGCGUGAGAGAAGACUGCCCUAUGGGUUGUAAACCUCUUUUAUAAGGGAAGAAUAAUGACUACGUGUAGUCAGAUGCCCGUACCUUAUGAAUAAGCAUCGGCUAACUCCGUGCCAGCAGCCGCGGUAAUACGGAGGAUGCGAGCGUUAUCCGGAUUUAUUGGGUUUAAAGGGUGCGUAGGCGGUUUUUUAAGUUAGUGGUUAAACGUCGGGGCUUCACCUUGAUUUGCCAUUAAUACUGUAA
rnacentral:rRNA from 1 species